rnacentral:lncRNA from 1 species
AAACUCCAGUCUUACUUUAGGGGGACAUAUCCUUUGCAAGAACUUUUCUUUCACUGCCUCUCUGAAUGCGCUACCCAUAUGCACACUCCAACAAGAACCUCCGACACUCGUUGCUGACCACUAGUCAACAACCUUAUCGGCCGGCUAGGGGGUAUCCAAUUGUUGCAAGUAUAGCUUGAGGUUGUACGUACUACGUGGCCGGCUCCAAAAUCCCACAAAUCUCAGUUGACAAAGCCGGCUCCCCCCAAUUUUAUAACCUACUUCCCAAAAUUCCCUUCACUCUUGUUCUUAUAUAUACAGCCACAGAAAAACACAAGCAAACAAACACAUAGAAACACAUACACAUAACAAGAUCAUAACAAGAUAGUAUAGCUUUUGUGACAUUAUUUCCAUGGCUGAAGCCAAGGUCACUUGGAAGCUUCAUCUGAAGAGGAAGAAGAAGAGUUCAUAUCUCUGCUACUUGCUACAACUGUUGGUGGUUA